rnacentral:lncRNA from 1 species
CCCAGUAGGUUAGUAAACUCUAUGAUCAGGAAUACUUCGUACUCGCGCUUGACGUGCUGGAGAUUGGCAGGGGCGUAGCCUGAAACUCACAUGGUGAUCAGGCCAGACGUGGGGUCCCAUGUGGGGGUGCAUCCCUGGGUUCGGGUAGUCGUAUUCCUAAUCAUUGAUUUUGCUAAUCGAGAGGUUGUUAGAUACGACCUGGACAGUCGUAUAAAGCUGGUGAUCAGGGUACUCUCCUGCAGGAUGUAACUAGAUCCGGAUCACCGCAAUUCUCGGUUAUGAAUGCACUUGAUCACUGUUGAGCAUCGUAGUAUCAAUUCAUGCAAUAUAUAUAUACCUUUGGUUGAUAUUUGAUGUAUGACUUAACAUCUAUGGUUGUUUUUACUUUCUGUUAUCAUUUAGAAUGGUUAGGUAAUAACUUAACCCAAAUAAAAGAUAAAACUAAGGCAUUACUCAUAGUAAGCUUUUCGGCAAAAGUUAUGUUAGCCAAACACACCCAAAAGCUAGCAUGCAUUCCAAAAAAAACUAUUAUAUUGGUUAGUCGGGUAAGACUUGCUGAGUACCCCGUACUCAGGGUUUUCCCCUUGUGGCUAUCUUUCAGAAGCUCCGCAGGAGUCUAUAGAGGAGGAGACCCCGAAG